rnacentral:rRNA from 1 species
UCUCAGUUCAAUACCACCCUGAAUACAUCUAUCUCAUCUGAUUUGGGAAGCUAAGCAGGGCCAGGGUGACUGAUAGGGGACUCCCUAGUAAGGGCAGGUAGGGCUAGGAA